rnacentral:rRNA from 1 species
AGUGAACCUGCGGAAGGAUCAUUAUUGAAAUA